rnacentral:rRNA from 1 species
CCCUUAGAUGUUCUGGGCCGCACGCGUGCUACACUGAGUGGAUCAGCGGGUCAGGUUGCGCGAAAGUGUUUCCUAAUCUUUAAAUCCGCUCGUGAUGGGGAUUGACGGUUGCAAUUUUCCGGCAUGAACGAGGAAUACCUUGUAAGCGCGGGUCAUCAUCCCGCGCUGAAUACGUCCCUGCCCUUUGUACACACCGCCCGUCGCUCCUACCGAUUGAGUGGUCCGGUGAGGCUUUGGGAUCUGAGCGGAAAGAGCGUUUCGCUGUUUCUGCCCGGAAAACUCAGUCGAACCUUAUCAUUUAGAGGAAGGAGAAGUCGUAACA